rnacentral:lncRNA from 1 species
ACAGCCAAGGUCCUCGUCGAACUCCCACUUGAGCUCGUUUGCAUCACCUGCAUCGGUAUCAUCGGCACCUGCAACUGUUUUGGUAGUAUCUGUGAGUCACGAGGACUCGGCAAUCUCAAAACCCGCGAGAUCAAGACUAUUUAAGCUUAUGGGUAGCAUGAGGUUAUGAGGUGGAGCUGCAGCAAGCGCUAAGCAAAUAUGGUGGCUAACAUACGAGUACAAGAGUAAGAUGAGAAACUAUGCAACAGUCGUAAACUAGAAGUGAUCAAGAAGUGAUCCUAAACUACUUACGUUCAAACAUAACCCCACCGUGUUCUCUUCCCGAACCUCGUUGAAAAUAGACCAUCACGGUUACGCACGCGGUUGGUGUCUUUUAAUUAAGUCAAGUGUCAAGUUCUGUACAACCGAAUAUUAACAAAUUCCCAUCUGCCACAUAACCGCAAGCACAGCUCUUGAAAGUUUAAACCCUGCAGGGGUGUCCCAACUUAGCCCAUGACAAGCUCAUGAUCCGCGGAGACAAUCCUCCAUCGCGGGACCCUUCGAUCGAUCAGACUCGGAAUCCCGGUGCACAAGAUAUUUCGACAAUGGUAAAACUAGUCCAGCAAGACCUCCCGAUGCACCGACCUAGCCUGAUAGGAGUAGCGCGAUCUCGUUCUCAGGGUACACCGAAUGAGCAAAGCGUACGGGUAUAUACCAAAUACCCCAAGUUGCCUAAGGGCGGCCCUGCACGGUGCUCUAGUUUGGACCAACACUCAUGUGGAGCACUGGCCCCGGGAUUGAUUAAAUCCACGAGGUCCGGAAAAUCCAUAUGCAAGUUUUUAGUUGUGAUUAGGCAAAUGGUAAAACCAAGGUUGGGCCUUGCUAGAGGAGUUUUAUUCAAAGCGAACUAUCAAGAGGGGCCCAUAAACCCUCACUGUGUCAAGGACGCAAAAGCAAGGAACAUAACACUGGUAUGACGGAAACUAGGACGUCAAGAGUGGAACAAAACACCAAGCAAAAGGCCUAGUCUUCCACCCUUUAGCAAGUAUAUAGAUGCAUUAAUUAAAUAAGAGAUAUUGUGAUAUCCCAACAUAUCCAUGUUCCAACAUGGAACGACCUGCAAGGCACCUGCAACUAGCAACGCUAUAAGAGGGGUUGAGCAAAAGCGGUAACUUAGCCAAACAACGGUUUGCUAGGAAGGUGGGUUAGAGGCUUGACAUGGUAAUAUGGGAGGCGUGAUAAACAAGUGGUAGGUAGCGCGACAUAGUGAUAGAACGAACAACUAGCAAGCAAAUAUAGAAGUGAUAUUGGGGGUAAUGAUCAUCUUGCCUGCAAAGUUCUCAGAGUUGUCGAAAGCUUGCUCCUCGUAAACGUACUCAACAGGAUCCUCGUUCACGAACUCGUCUCCCGGCUCUACCCAAAGCAAGAACACAAGCAACGGAACAACAAUCAAUCAAAGUGCAAUGCAUAAGCAAUAUGAUCCAAGACAUGGCAUGGAAUGCAAGAUAUGAUGUGCAAUGCAUAUGGGUACUCCGAAAGGGAAAGGAUGAUCAUGCCAUCAACUUGCAAACCAAGCAUGCCACUGGAAAGAUGGAGUGACUGCGGCCGAAAUCGAUAUAAGGGUCACCGGAAACGGAUGCACGGUUUGCAAAUGACAAGCAAAACAAGAACGAUGCAAAACUGCCCUUAACAAUAUCAUAGCACAUUAGAUGCAUCAUGGAACUAUGCUACAUCACUGCAACAUAGCAACAAAGCACAUGGCAGUGAAGUACAGGUGAAUCUCUACAAAUCAUGAACAUUGAGCUCCUGCUAUAACUCACCAGAACACUCCUAAAACAGCAUGGCAAAAACGCAAAUGACAAGAGGUUCACAGACUUGGUGAAAAUACUAAACAUGGCAUAAACAGCAUUAGGUAGCAAUGUUUAGAGCUAGCAAACAACAUGCUACAGGAUCAUAACAUGGCAAACAAGAGCAUGGCAUGCUAGUACUAAAGGCAAUGAACAAAACUCCCUUACUAAACUUUAUCCAAAGAUGCACAGAAAAUAUGGUAGCAUCAAUGCAAACAUGGAAAGUGAUAUGAACAGUUUUAGACUUAGUAGAAAAACAUAGCAUGGCAGAAACAGAUUCAUGAUAGCAACUUUGCACGCUCAUGCCACUCACCACAAAGCAUUUCAUGGCAUCACAAGGUAACCAAUAGUAAGAAGACACAUUUAUGAAGCUAAACAUGGCCAGAGCAAGUUCAUAGGGUGCAUGGAUCACUAGCAAAACACAUGGCAAAAAUGAACUUCAUGUUAACAAUCUGCCAGCAACAACAUUUAGCAAAAGUAGAGCAUGGUAAUGACAAGCUAAACUACUGAAUAAUUACAACCAGAGGCAUGCAUGGAUAGGGCAUAAUCAUAUCUUCAAAACACUCUUACCGAACCACAUCAAAAUAUGCAUGCAUCUACUUGUGGCAACAAGUCAACAUAGCGACAUAAUGUAAUAGGAAAAGACUUAGCAGAAAUACUAAGUGUCUGGAAUCAGCAACAUCAUAUAGCCUACUUUGCAUGCUUAUGCUAGUCACCACAAAGCUCAUAAAAAUACAAGGCUUGCACCAAUGUAAAGAUGGUGUGGAGAUGCUCCUAAAACAUGUAGACAUGAUGCUCAAAGGAUGCACACACAAAAUGCUACGAAAAUGACAAAUCAGCAAGGUAUGAUGGAUUCUAGCAGACAACGUCAUUUAGCACUUUUGCAACGAAGCAUAGGGCGUCAAUAUGGACAGUAACAUGCAUGCAAAUGACACCAACAUGAAGAGCAUCACGAUACGAACAUUUCGGUAUAUCGUAUGCGCAAAACAGAGCUAUAUGCAUGGAGAUAUGACAUGUCAAAGAAGUGCACAUGAGAUGAAAAUAUUUCAGGACUUAGGUAAAAUUAUACCCCACAGAUCUAGGGUUCUUCAUGCACGCGAACCAAGGCGAGGCCGGGCUCACCGGAGAUGGCGGCGCGGAGGUCUGACGGGGUCGAAGAGGCGCCGGGGAGGCCAGGGCUCGGCGGAUCCGGGCGGCAACGGGGAGGCCGGGCGGCACNNNNNNNNNNNNNNNNNNNNNNNNNNNNNNNNNNNNNNNNNNNNNNNNNNNNNNNNNNNNNNNNNNNNNNNNNNNNNNNNNNNNNNNNNNNNNNNNNNNNNNNNNNNNNNNNNNNNNNNNNNNNNNNNNNNNNNNNNNNNNNNNNNNNNNNNNNNNNNNNNNNNNNNNNNNNNNNNNNNNNNNNNNNNNNNNNNNNNNNNNNNNNNNNNNNNNNNNNNNNNNNNNNGGGAAGCGACGGUGUGGACAUGUGGCGGCAUGCCACUGGCUCGGGGCGGCGGCACGGGCGUGUCCGGCGGCGGGCGGACACGUCCGGCGGCUGAGAGGGAGAGGGGGUUAGGGUUUGCCCGUGAAUUUCGGGGGAGAGGGCAUAUUUAUAGGUAGAGGGAGCUAGGAGAGUCAAUGAGGUGCGGUUUUCGCCCACACGAUCGUGAUCCAACAACGGAGAGCAUGGAGGGGGUUUGGAUGGGCUAGUGGGCUAUUUCGGAGGAGUGUUGGGCUGCAAUGAGAGAGGAGUUUUUUGCGGCUACCCGGUUAACCAUUGGGGCAUCAAAUGACCUCCAAAUGGAACGAAAUUCGACAGGCGGCCUACCGGUGAUGUACCAAGGCCACUUGACAAAUCUCGGCCCAUUUCAAGAACAUUUUUCUCCCACUCACAAAACGAGAUUUGAGAGGUGCGACGGGUGCAUGUGGGAGUGUCGGAUUUCGAAACGGGCAACGGGAAAAAUGUCCGGAUGCAUGAGACGAACACGAAUGCAAAUGAGAUGCACUUGAUGACAUGAGAUGAAAUGCAUGACAUGAACAAAAUGCAAAACGAAGACAAAACCCAACCACGAAGGAAAAUAACAUAUCACAUAGCCGGAAAAUGGCAAGAGUUGGAGUUACAAUUAUGGAAUGUUACAUCCGAGGCGUUACAAAGCCCGUGCCAAAAGAGUUCCUAUGUCCAAAGCCAGAAAAUCUACACAAGAAACUAUGACAUUCACUCUUGAACAAUCAGAUGAUGAUGAGGCUAUUGUUGGUAAGAAGAAGAAGAGAGCUGGGAAGACCACUACCACGGUGUUUGGCAAGCCUUCCAUGAGGGAAGAUGAAGAAGAGGAGGAAGAGGAACCAGUUGCACCUCCUGCCAAGACUCAUAAAUUGAUGUCUGAUGCUAUGAAGUCUGCUAACCCCUCCAAGUCUAAGCCCAAAGGUCCAGUUUUAGCUCCUAAGAGAUCAACUAGGAACAUCACAGCUGCUGAAAAGAACAAGGCCCUAGUGCCAGAAGUUCAAGAAGAUGAUGAGCCACUAGUGCUCAGAAAGUUGAAGCCAAAGAUUCCAGAUCAUGAUGAUGGACAUCCAGUUGCUGAAAACAUGAAGCUCAGGAAAGACAAAGGACUGAGAGAAUGGAGGAAAGUGGAUCCAUACUCAGUGAGGAGGAGAACAGCUUGUGAUUAUCAUUUCCAUACCCAUGAACAACAAGAUUUCUAUGAGACGGUGUUGCUUGACAAGAAGCCCAUCAUAAGCAACAUGAAGUGGGUGGACUAGAAGUAUAUUGAUGCAAAUGAAGACUACUUCCCCCAUGUUCAUCAGAGCUUCAGGCUUACUGGAUUUGAUGCUUUUGUUGGACAAAAGCUUAGAAAAUGGAAUGAUGAGAUGGUGAUGCAAUUCUACUCCACAACACAUUUUUAUCCAGAUGGCAGAAUUGUGUGGAUGACUGAGGGCACCAGAUACUAGUCAUCUAUCUCUAAGUGGGAUGCUCUCAUCAAUGCCCCAAAGGAAGAUGAAAAUGAUGUUGAUGUCUAUGGGAAGCCCGGGAUGGAUCACAACACUAUGGCACUGAAUGUCCCCAAUGUAUCUAUAAUUUUUGCGUGUUCCAUGCUGUUAUAUUAUCAUUCUUGGAUGUUUUAGAAUCAUUUUAUAGCAACUUUAUAUCAUUUUGGUGGACUAACCUAUUGACAUAGUACCCACUGCCAGUUGUUGUGUUUUGCUUGUUUUUAGCUUCAUAGAAAAUCAAUACCAAAUGGAGUCCAAACGCAGCGAAACUUUUUGAAGAUUUUUUCUGGACCAGAAGACAUCAGAUGGGCCAAACAAGUACUAGAGGGGUGCCCUGAGGGGGGCACAACCCACUUGGGCACGCCUGGGGGCUCAGACGCGCCCUGGUGGGUUGUGCCCACCUCAGGGGCCUCCCGCACCACCUCUUUGCUCUAUAAAUACCCUAAUAUUCCAAAAACCCUAGGGAAGUCGACGAAACACAAUUGCAGCAACCACAAGUUCCAGAACCAUGAGAUCCAAUCUAGACACCAUCACAGAGGGGUUCAUCAUCCUCAUUGGUGCCUCUCUGAUGAUGCGUGAGUAGUUCAUUGUAGACCUACAGGUCCGUAGGUAGUAGCUAGAUGGCUUCUUCUCUCUUUUUGAUUCUCAAUACAAUGGUCUCUUGGAGAUCUAUUUGAUGUCACUCUUUUUUGAUGUAUUUGUUGGGAUCCGAUGAACUUGAGUUUAUGAUCAGAUCUAUUUCAUCCAUGAAAAUUAUUUGAGUUUUGAUCUCUUAUAUGCAUGAUUACUUAUAGCCUCGUAUUUCUUCUUCGAAUCUUUGGUUUAGUUAGGCCGACUAGAUCAAUUUUUCUUGCCAUGGGAAGAGGUCCUUUGUGAUGGGUUCGAUCGUUCGGUGUUCUUUCCUAGUGGCAGAAGGGGCAGCAAGAGAUGUAUUGGUCGUUGCUAUUAAGGAUAACAAGAUGGGAUUUAUUCCUACAUGAUUAGAUCUUGUCUACAUCAUCUCAUCGUUCUUAUUGCAUUACUCCAUUUCUCCAUGAACUUAAUACACUAGAUGCAUGCUGGAUAGCGGUCGAUGUGUGGAGUAGUAGUAGUAGAUGCAGGCAAGAGUUGGUCUACUAAUCUUGGACGUGAUGCCUAUAUAAUGAUCAUUGCCUGGAUAUCGUCAUAAUUAUUUGAGGUUCUAUCAAUUGCCCAACAGUAAUUUGUUUACCCACCGUUUGCUAUUUUCUCGAGAGAAGCCACUAGUGAAAUCUACGGCCCCCGGGUCUAUUUUCUCAUCCUAUAUUUUCAGAUCUAUAUUCCUAUUUGCCUUUUCCUUUAUUUCCAUCUUUUAUUUUCAGAUCUAUAUUACCAAAAACCCAAAAAUACCUCGCUGAAUUUUAUUUGUCAUUAUUUUAUUUGCAUCUACAAAUCUAUAUCUUUACCAAUCUUUUAACCGAGAGGGAUUGACAACCCCUCUUACGCGUCGAGUUGCAAGUAUUUGUUCUUUAUGUGCAAGUACCGUUUACAUAGUGUUGCUUAGUUCUCCAACUGGUUUGAUAACCUUGGUUUCAUAACUAAGGGAAAUACCUACCGUAGCUGUGCUACAUCAUCCCUUCCUCUUCGGGGAAAUACUAACACGGACACGAGCCAUCAGGCACAUAUGUACAAGACCAUUCCUGACAAGGAUCUGGGAACUCAUAAGUUUGGAUCACUAUAUUAUUUGCUAGCUGGUUUGCCCACCACAAACUACAUUUUGAGGAACACUUGUUACCCAAAUCUGGAGAAGAGAGAAUGAUUCGUGGCCACUCCAUCAACCUGCUCCACUUGCUUUAUGUUCCACAGAAGUUCAAAGUCAUGAGCCGGAUUGUUGAGACAAUCAAAAGGACAGUUGCUAACUAGAAGAGGUCAUGUGGAUAUGCACCACAUAUUCAGAUGCUUAUCAACUCCAAAGUUGGUACAGAUACAUAUCUACUUGACAGUGAGCACCUUCCUCUUCAACCAAAAUUCGAGGAUAAUGUAGUGGUGAUGAAUGCUUCCCACCCUACUUCAGUUGAGGCUCAAGAGAAGGUUGAGGCAGCAGCAGCAAGAGCAGAAAAGGCAGCAAAUGCACCCAAUGUUUCAAUAGCCAAUCUCAAAUCAAAGCAAGACCAGAUGACAUAUCUACUAGAAGCAACACUGAGGAUUUUGCGAAGUCUGGCCAACUUAGCCAAGAACCAAGAGAGCUUAGAGCGGAUAAUGGAGGACAAGAUGUAAAAUCUUGAUGUCAAGGUCACUGAUACAGUCUAUUGUGGAGAAGCUGAGAGAUGAUGUUGAAGAUGUCAAUGAGGACACUACUACUGACAGAUUCCAGACAGUGCCUAGGGCAGCCAGGGCCUCAGUUGUGCUAGUAGCAGACACCAGAACUACUCACUCAGCACCUGCCGCCACUGCUAUAGUGCCACCCCCAAUAUCAACACCAUCAGCUCAGCAGACAUUAGCCGAAGCAUUUGCAGAAGCAGUUCUCUCAAGCCAUCUACGCACACCGGAGCAACAAGCCAGAAGACCCCUUCAUGAGCUCCCGGAGAUCGUGCCUAGAGUGCAGUAUAGCACUAUACCUUCUCAAGUUUUUUGGUAACAUGUUGCCAAAGGGGGGAUGUAGAGAUCAUAGGCUGAGAGAGAGAGAGAGUCUCGUUCUUUUGCUCGUCUGUUUUUAUUGCUACUUUGUCCGUUUGGUUUGUGCUAAUUAUUGUUUUAUGCUCAUGAGAUACUUUGUGUGGUUGUGUGAUUGAUCAUACUAUGUUUAAUGUGUGGUUUGUUCUUAUCUCUAUGAUUUCUUGUGUAUGAUCAUUCACUUAUGUAUUUGGUUAUGCGUGCAUGUAAUUUCACUCUUAUCAUUUUGUGCGCUCCACCAAGAUGUAUGUGACAUGGAAGAGUGACCCAUGAUCCUAAUCGAUUGUGCAUUUGGAUUCAAACACAAACUUUAAAUAACGCAAAAUUUUAGGGAGAGCUCUUUCUUAUCACAUACUUCUCAAAGCGACGAUAUAUUUCAUUUAUUUUAUCAUUUGUCAAAGCUUUGAUCUAUAUGUUGUCAUCAAUUACCAAAAAGGGGGAGAUUAAAAGUGCAACUAAUCCCUAGGUGGUUUCGGUAAUUCAUAACAACAUAUAGCUCAUUGGACUAAUUUCAUUUCGAGAUAAAUAUUUUAGGAUAUUCAAUGAUUGGCAUGGCAUGGACUAGAGAUGUGGAUCCCUCAAAAUGCUAAGGACAAAGAUUAGCAAAAGCUCAAGACUCUUCAGCUUUAUUUUAGUGAUUCAAGAUCACAUUGAGUCCAUAGGAAAGCCAAUACUAUUAAAAGGGGAUGAAGUGUUGCUUAAUGGUCUACUUGCUCAAAUGCUUAGUGAUAUUUCUCCAAAACCCCUCAACCACUUUCUCCAUCCAAAUAUGUCUAAAACAUAAACUCCAACUCGGUCCCACCGAUUCUUUCUACCCGGAGCCACCGAGUUCAUAUGACAUAGCCAUUGCCAGAAACCAUAACAGUACGGUCUCACCGAGAUGGCCUUGCCAGCGCUCUGUGACUUGUUGCACUUAUUUCGGCCUCACCGAGUUAUGCAAUCGGUCUCACCGAGUUGGCUUGACAGAUUCUCUGUUGCUUAUUACUUCACUUCGAUCUCACCGAGUUAAUGCAAUUGGCGCCACCGAGAUGAUGUUUGCCCUAAGCCCUAGCACAUCGGUCCCAUCGAUAUUCCUGAUGUUCACAUUUUUGAACUGAUCGAUGCCACCGAGUUUAACUAUUCGGUCUUACCAAGAUGAGCCAAAUGUGUGUAACAGUUGGAUUUUGUGUGCAGGCUAUGUACCCCUCCACCCUCUUCUCCAUUUGUGAGAGAGCCAUCAGAACAUGCCUAGACUUCCACCAUACAUUUUCUAAGAAAGAAUCACCUACUCAUGUGUUGAGAUCAAGAAAUUACAAUCCUACCAUUUGAACCUUGAUUUCUAGCCUUCCCCAAGUUGCUUUCCACUCAAAUCACUCUUCCACCAUAGCCAAAUCUGAGAGAGAGUUGAGUGUUGGGGAUACUAUCAUUUGAAGCACAAGAUCAAGGAGUUCAUCAUCAACACACCAUCUAUUACCUUUUGGAGAGUGGUGUCUCCUAGAUUGGUUAGGUGUCGCUUGGGAGCCUCCGUCAUGAUGUGGAGUUGAACUAAGAAGUUUGUAAGGGCGAGGAGAUCGCCUACUUCAUGAAGAUCUACCCGAGUGAGCCAAGUCCUUCAUGGGCGAUGGCAUGGUGGGGUAGACAAGGUUGCUUCUUUGUGGACCCUUUGUGGGUGGAGCCCUCCAUGGACUCGCGUAGUCGUUACCCUUCGUGGGUUGAAGUCUCCAUCAACGUGGAUGUACAAUAGCACCACCUAUCAGAACCACGCCAAAAAUCUUCGUGUCUCCAUUGCAUUUGCCUUCUCCAAACCCUUACCUUUACCUUCAUAUGCAAUGUUUUACUUUCCGCUGCUAUACUCUUAGAAUUGCAUGUGUAGGUUGAUUGCUUGACUUGUGCAAAUUGUUAAAAUCUGCCCACAACUAAAAUUGGGAAAAGGACGGAUUUUUAUUUGGUCAAGUAGUCUAAUCACCCCCCUCUAGACAUACUUUCGAUCCUACAACCCCUCGUGGCACCUCCUGGCCUAAUUCCAGCUCUAUAAAUUCCCAAAUAUUCCCCGUACAUCAGAGAGCCACCCCAAGUACUUUUUCGCCGCUGCAGGGCCUCUACAUCAACAUUGCUGCCCCUCCGAUGAUGUGUGAGUAGUUUAUGACAGACCUACGGGUUCGUAGCUAGUAGCUAGAUGGCUUCUUCUCUUUCUCUUUGAUCUUCAAUACAAUGUUCUCCUCGAUGUUCUUGGAGAUCUAUUCGAUGUAAUCCUUUUUGCGGUGUGUUUGUUGGGAUCCGAUGAAUUGUGGGUUUAUGAUCAGAUUAUCUAUGAAUAUUAUUUGAGUCUUUUCUUAACUCUUUUAUGCGUGAUUAUUAUAGCUUUGUAUUUCUCCCUGAUCUGUUUGUUUGGUUUGGCCAACUAGAUUGAUUUUUAUCUUGCAAUGGGAGAGGUGCUUUGUGAUGGGUUCGAUCUUGCGUUGCUCAAUCCCAGUGACAGAAGGGGACAUGACACAUACUUGUAUCAUUGCCAUUAAGGAUAAAAAUAUGGGGUUUAUUCAUAUUAAUUGGGUACAUCAUGUCAUCGUGCUUAAGGCGUUACUCCGUUCUUUAUAAACUUAAUACUCUAGAUGCGCAAUGGAUAGCGGUCGAUGUGUGUAGUAAUAGUAGUAGAUGCAGGCAGGAGUCGGUCUACUUGUCUCAGAUGUGAUGCCUAUAUACAUGAUCAUUGCCUAGGAUAUCGUCAUAAUUAUUCGCUUUUAUAUCAAUUGCCCCACAAUAAUUUUUUACCCACCGUAUGCUAUGUUUAAGAGAGAAUCCUCUAGUGAAAACUAUGGGCCCCAGGUCUAUUUUAAUCAUAUAUUAAAAUCCAAAAUUACCUUGCUGCAAUUUAUUUACUUUUAUUUUAUUUUGUGUUUUUGUUUAUUGUAUCUAUCACUACGAUAUUUGAUCCUUGUAAUUAACCGCCAAGGGAUUGACAACCCCUUGUUUGCGUUGGGUGCAAGUAUUUGUUAUUUUGUGUGUAGGUGCUAUUAACGAGGUGUUGCGUGGUUCUCCUACUGGAUUGAUAACCUUGGUUCUUAACUGAGGGAAAUACUUAUCUCUACUGUACUGCAUUAUCCCCUCCCCUUCGAGGAAAUCCCAACGCAGCUCACAAGUAGAAUAGACAUCAAAAGUAUCAUCCAGUGUGAUGAAGCUCCGCAAGAUUGAAUCCACUACUAUGCACGACUUUAUCUGAAGAACUAGCCAUCAAUCUUGGCCAAAGAAGACAAAUAGAUCAGAUACCAUACAUAACUACUUAAUUACACAUCAAAGAAACUUCAAAAGAUUCAAUAAUAUUCAAUGAACAAUCUGAUCAUAAACAUACAUUUCAUCAUAUCCCAACAAACACAACCACCAAUUACAUCAUAUUGAACUAUUGGUGUUAAAGGGAGAACUGGAAUGGGUGCCCUCAGGAAUGUGGACACAGGUGGUUCAUGCAUGGUCGUCGUCAUCUCGUGUCGUAAGGUGUUGGGUUAAGUCUCGCAGUGGGAAAAACCCUCAUGUUUAGUUGCCACUAUGAGUUUAGAACCCCGAAUAGACCACCGCAGCAGCGGACAUCCAGAAGGGUCUUGACUUCACUAGAGAAUGUGUUUAAAGCAAGAAGUGGCGGACAUUUUUUUGCAUUCUGGGACAAGAAAUUCCUAGCCAUUGUUUGGCUGAUGUUACUCGCCGCUGCACUCAGCUUCUACACUCGGAAGGAAAUAAAAAUUAUUUCUUGUCUGUUGCCCACCCGACCAUCUCCUUUAGAAAAGUAGUGGAAUCCUACAUGUUAGUUAUUACGUUGCUUAUGGCUAAGCAUCUUCCGGCAGAGGAAAGGAGGCGACUAGUUGCUUCGGGCAAAAUAGUGAGUGGACGAGAAGCGAGUGAAGUGCAACCGUCAUAAGUAAGGCUCGCAAGAUAUAGGUCCCUUAUGAAUAUUGUACUGAGUAAGAUUCAUUGAAGAAAUGCUUCUCAGAAGCAUUAAGUUUGCGCCACAAGCAUAGUCUUCUGCUGACUUAGCCUUUCCAUUAACCUUCCAAGCCAACAAUGCGGGUUCGAUUCCCGCUACCCGCUCCAUCCUUUAUAAAAGGAGUAUUCUAUUUGUCUAGACAUGUUAAAGGCUUAUCUCUCUCUUCAACCCUUUGAGAGAAAUGUAGCAAAAGGAAGGAAAUCCAUGGACCGACCCCAUUGUCUCCACCCCAUAGGAACUAAGAGAUCACCCCAAGGACGCCUUCGACGUCCAAGGAUCAUGGACCAACCAUAGACAACGCUUAUAUCCAUCACUGUAGGACUUGUGUUCAAGCUUUCCCCAGCCCCAUGCAUAGAUCCUCCACAAAAGGUAAAUGUAUACGAAAAAAUGACUGAUUGAACUUUCCAAUAGACUCAUUCCAUGAGUAGAUGAUUGAAUGGGAUUCUCUUGGGCAACGAAAUCACCCUGAAAGAGUCGAGGUCUCUUUGGACUUCUUUUUUGCCUCUCUCCCGGAUUCAGAAAAAGGGAGGAAGAGGGCCUCUCGACGGGAGUGAUUCCCUGUAAAGAGAUCGUUCCCAGCAACUGUUAAAGGGGGUCUAGGUGCUACAUAGGCGUAUUUCCAAAGUGACGCUCAAACCUACCUAUUUCUUUGAGUGAAGACUUUGAAAAUCUCUUGCAGUGCAAUCGAGUUCCUCAGCGACAGAGACGCACUUCUUCUAGUCUUUCAUGAAAUUGGUCUGACUGAAGAGUUAGGAUUUCGCUAGUGUGAUUCUCCUGUCGUGAGGAAAUUGAGAGUCACAUUUCCGACUCCAGUUGUCAACCUUAUCUUGACAACGGUCUUGUUCGAAGAGCAUGCGAGUCAUUUCAUGUCGGGUUGCCCCUGGGCUAUAAAUAUCCUCCCCAUACAACCAUUUAUUGGUUGGCCGCUCUGAGUGACUGAUUGACAAGUGUCAACUAGAGCAACCCAUCAUCCGAGGAACUUGAGAGAAUCCUAAGCGAGGAAAAACCCAAACAAUUAGAUCCAAAGUGGUUGAGCAUCACUAAAGAGAUUGUCCUGUGUGAUUAGACGCUUAUUAUCUUUGAAUAUUGUGAUCUUCCAGGCGGUUAGGCGUCAUGUUCUGAGCAUCCAAGAAGAAAUUGUGGAGUGCCAUAGAAUGACUCCGUGAAGGUUUUGGAAGUCUACCUUGAAGACUUACCAUGACUUAUUGGGCAAGGUCUAAGUGAUCUUAGCUCAAGGAAGAUAAGGUGAAGACUAAGUGUCUUUAGGGUUAAAUUCCAAGUAUCCCUAACCAUACGUACAGUUUUCACAGCAACUCAAACUGGUCAAUCAAAUUCAUUGUCUUCACCAAGCUACGAUGGUUUAAAUUCCUUAGCUCUUUACUUUCAGUACAGAUGUGUUGAAGAAUUUGACUCUCACCAUGAAUACUUUGACUUGAAGACUUCCAUCAUGAUACUUUUAUUUGUCUUCCAUUUUGUUGUUCUGAAGGUUGUUUGUUCAUAUGUUCGCUUGUUCUUCAUAUACUGCUACUUAGCGUAUUUCUUCACCCUGUUAUUCCUCGAAGAACUCGCGUCUUUGAAGAAUUUGUUAAAAUCUCCCACUCACCUCCGCUCUGGUUGAUAACUUGCACUUUCAACCAUCCACCACCCCAGCAACAACUCAUGAAAGGUACCCGACAUAAUCAGCCCAGCGUAGGCCAACAUUCGAGUAAGGCACGACUACACCCACGACGACCUAUUGAAGAAAACACGCACACAUGGACAACGAAUAAACGCUACAAAAAAGGUGGCCUCGAGUGUGCAUGCGUUCCACAGGUCAUGGACGUCCGAGGCCGUCGGGGAGGUGAUACAAGUAAAACCCCGAUUGAAUGGGGGUAAAGGCGCCAAGGAGGCAUCAGCGAGGGGCGCGCGUGGAUCGAAUGGGCGAAGGGCGCGCAUGCCACUGGGAGGCGGGUACUUCAGCAUCAUUUAAAGGAGUAAUGUGUUUUUCACUCAUCUAUGCAAAUAUUAAUCUAAGUGAGGCCUCCGACUACUCUCAGCAUCUCAUAUGUGAAUCUCAAACUCCCAUUCAUCUGUUUAAUUUGAGAGAGGUUUAAAAGGCCUUCUAAAUCAACUGGAUAAUCGCAGGGUCGGGAGGAAUGGGGGGUCCAAUCGUUCCCGCCACCUGAUGGUGUUUCUCACCAAAACUCGUUGUCGACGCCUCUCCCACCCACCUCUCCGCCGGGGAGCCCUAGCCCCAGGUCAGCCCACCGCGCCCUAGUGCGGCAAGCGUAGCUGACAAGGUGAGGCACAUCGGCAUCCCUCGCCAUAUGUCCUCCGAUGGCAUGACAUUGCCUCUCCUCCAGCUCCGGACAACUCCCCGCGAUCCUUGUGGAUCUCGGGAUCGAGGACAACAAUGACCUCCACUGUGGCCCUCCAUCUCUGCCACGAACGUCUCCCCCCUCCGCCUCGCCACACAACAAGUCAACCUCAAGGGGCAAAGCAUGACGCAUCAAAGCAGAGGACCACCCUAACCUUGACGCAUCACCCCGGAUAAGUCGCACGCGCUGCCGUCAAUAGCUAUCUUCAACGACCAUAGUCCAAACAAAUGCAAGUUUGUUUGUUUUUUCCUCCUUUUAAUUCAGCCAUGUGUACAUGAGAUUGGAGAUGAGCAUGAUCUGUGCAAAUGUUGAAUGGGGUACUAUGUACAUGAACUUUACAUAUACAUUUUCCAAAACCUUUUUGCAAUGCUUGUUGCAUAUGUGGGAACAUGUAGAUAACCAAGAGAACUUCAUGGUGAGCUUGAUCAAUCUAGGAUUCGAAGUUGGACCAUAUAUUUUCUGCCAAUGUCAACUAUCUUUUGGAAAUGGUUUUGUCACUUGUUUCAUUAUUUUGGUAUAAGCACUUGAUAGUUACUUUUUUGUUAUGCCGAAUUAUAUGAUAAACAAUGUCCGAACAUGUUGUUGUUAACACAAUGGAUGAAAUUACAUAUAUUCUUGCGUCAAUCUCGAAGUUAUGCAUCCAGUAUCAUUAUUAUUUUGGAUUUGUCCUUGGGUAUAUGUAGGGCUGGAAAAAAAGCUCGAAGCUCGUGAGCUAAACGAGUAGCUCGUGACUCGGCUCGAAUCGACUCGAACUCGAAGAAUAACGAGUCGAGUCGAGCUUUAGCUUAAGAUCGUUUAUAGACCAAGUUAAAUGAGCCAAUCUCACGAGUACUCGUGUAACUCGUUAGGCUUGGUACAAAAGAUCAGCCACUUCCAAUAUAAAAAAAGAUCAGCCACUCAGCACCCUAUGUCCCAGGAGCACAACACAAGGCCUAACUGUUGAAGGCCCAGCCGCCUAGGAGACUCAUGCAUUACAAGGAAAUUACCAUUGUUUAGUGAUAUAUAUGUUUAAUAUAUACAUAAUAAUUUUUAUAAUGUUUGAGGGUUUUAUGUUCAUAUCUUUAACGAGCUUAACAAGCUAAACGAGCCAGCUCGCGAGUUAUACGAGUCGAGCCAAUCUUGAAUUUGAGCUCGUUAAUCAUAACAAGUCGAGUCGAGUUAGCUCGUUAACGAAACGAGCUCUAGCGAGUCGAGCCGAGCUGGCUCGACUCGGCUCGAAUUCCAGCCCUAGGUAUGUGUGCCAUGAAAGAAUAUAUAUCAUCCAAUUCCAAGAACAACAAAAGGGGAGGGUUGUUGAUGGUGACUAUGUUCUCGUCUACUCCGGUACAUUCUCUUCCAAGCACGUAUAUCAAACCAUUUCCUCUCAGUUUCUCAGUUUUUCGAUAAACGGUGGAUUCUAUUAACUCAAAAUAAAACAUCAAAGAGAUACAAACACAAUGAACACACACCCAACCUCUGCAUAAUACCAACGCGCGCGCACACGCAAAAGGCAAGAAAAACACUGAAAAAGAAAAGUCAUACAAAAUCAAAGCUAUGCCUAUGCAAGGAAAAAGGAAAAAAAUAAUCCCUGAAGUGACAGAAGCAGCUGCAGAUGGCAAAAACGUUGCAGCCAGUAAACAAUCUUAUCAUCCUCGGACAGAACUACAGCCGAACUGUUUUUCGAUUCGAAGAUCACGCUAAUAUACUCUUGAUAAAUGAUUAUGAGCAGUCGUGGUGUCACCUAACUUAUCUGCAAAGUAACAGGAGUAGUAUGAUACCAUAUCCAUGGCAUAUAUUCGACGGAGUCGUAUCAUUGCCUUGCGCUGUUACCAGGAUAGGUACAUACAUGACUUGGCCGCAUCUGGAAGCGAACUGUGUCAUUGUAUUCCAGCGACCUCGGCUGCCCAGCUCAACCACCUUUCGCACCGCACCGACGACAGACAUCUUUUCCUCCAACAAAAGGAGACAAGUGUGUAAUCGUAGGACGAACGCAAACAUGGCCGAAACAAGACCGGUGUACAAACAUGCCCAAUGUGCAGGGAGCAUGUGGGACAGGGGUACUCCAUCAAAAUUAAGAACACCAAACGAUGGAAUUCCACAGGGAAUUUCUCUAUUUUGAGUGCCCAGAGUUCCAUUUCCACAGAAAUACCACCCCCAACUACUGAAGCUACUGGUAUAGAUAGAUACCCCGUCCUGAGUGAAAGAGACACCUCAAGCACGGUCCAUCUCAACAAAACCUAAAGUCGUUCCACGUUCCCCUCCAAAGGAGCCAACGUGGGCGGGCAAAUAGUUUCGUCUGAGGUCAGACAUACCCACAUGCUGCAAGAUUGCAGUAGACAUAUUUCGGCAAAUGCUAGGCAAUACAGGAUGCAGCAGGCAAACACCGGCUGAGAACGAUAUAUAGAUAGAUAGCAAUGGCACUUGCAGCCAAUGUGUAUGUACAGCAAAAGAUCAGCCACAUAAAUAGCAGUGAUCUAAGUCGAUGGUCGCCAUGUUCGCCAACACUCGAGAGCACACCUAAAACUACCACUAGUAUGUACAGGCAAGGAUAGAUAAGACUGGCUGACGGGGAACCCUCUGCUUCUUCCCCUCCUAUCAUCAGCUCCACACCCAAUCAUGUCGUAAGUUUAGCGAGCCGCCCACACCUACGUAUCUUGUUUCCCUACAUGAUAUACUUACAAAACCACGCGCGAGUUUCUCCUGCGUGUGGCGCGGGCAGCCAGUGUCAGUAUCGGUUUCCAGUCAGGACAGGUGGAAGGACCCCUGCCCCUCAGUAAUCGCGUAGAGUAGCUUCUCCCUCAUCCUUUCCUG